rnacentral:rRNA from 1 species
UGCAAGUCGAGCGCGCCUUUCGGGGUGAGCGGCGGACGGGCUAGGAACGCGUGGGAAUAUACCCUUUGGUACGGAAUAGCCUCUGGAAACGGAGAGUAAUACCGUAUGAGCCCUUCGGGGGAAAGAUUUAUCGCCAAAGGAUUAGCCCGCGUUAGAUUAGGUAGUUGGUGGGGUAAUGGCCUACCAAGCCUACGAUCUAUAGCUGGUUUUAGAGGAUGAUCAGCAACACUGGGAGUGUAUCCACCGCCCAGACUCCUACGGGUAGGCAGCAGUGGGGAAUCUUGGACAAUGGGGGCAACCCUGAUCCAGCCAUGCCGCGUGAGUGAUGAAGGCCUUAGGGUCGUAAAGCUCUUUCGCCUGUGAAGAUAAUGACGGUAGCAGGUAAAGAAACCCCGGCUAACUCCGUGCCAGCAGCCGCGGUAAUACGGAGGGGGUUAGCGUUGUUCGGAAUUACUGGGCGUAAAGCGCACGUAGGCGGACCAGAAAGUUGGGGGUGAAAUCCCCGGGGGCUCAACCCCCGGAACUGCCUCCAAAACUAUUGGUCUAGAGUUCGAGAGA